UGAGCAAUCUGCCCUUCUCAUCGGAAUAAGCGUUGGAAACGACGUCUAAUGCCGAAUACGACCUCCUUUCACAUGAUCGGAGGUGGAAAGCUCCGGCGGAGAAGGAUGAGCUCGCGGCCUAUCAGCUAGUUGGUGUGGGUAACGCCCACAAGGCGACGACGGGUAGCCGGCCUGAGAGGGUGACCCGGCCACACGUGGGACUGAGACACGGCCCAGACCUCCGUACGGGAGGNAGCG
rnacentral:rRNA from 1 species